UCGAGCAGGUACGAAAGUAGGUCUUAGUGAUCCGGUGGUUCUGUAUGGAAGGGCCAUCGCUCAACGGAUAAAAGGUACUCCGGGGAUAACAGGCUGAUACCGCCCAAGAGUUCAUAUCGACGGCGGUGUUUGGCACCUCGAUGUCGGCUCAUCACAUCCUGGGGCUGAAGCCGGUCCCAAGGGUAUGGCUGUUCGCCAUUUAAAGUGGUACGCGAGCUGGGUUUAGAACGUCGUGAGACAGUUCGGUCCCUAUCUGCCGUGGACGUUUGAGAUUUGAGAGGGGCUGCUCCUAGUACGAGAGGACCGGAGUGGACGAACCUCUGGUGUUCCGGUUGUCACGCCAGUGGCAUUGCCGGGUAGCUAUGUUCGGAAAAGAUAACCGCUGAAAGCAUCUAAGCGGGAAACUUGCCUCAAGAUGAGAUCUCACUGGGAACUUGAUUCCCCUGAAGGGCCGUCGAAGACUACGACGUUGAUAGGCUGGGUGUGUAAGCGUUGUGAGGCGUUGAGCUAACCAGUACUAAUUGCCCGUGAGGCUUGACCA
rnacentral:rRNA from 1 species